CCUACGGGGGGCAGCAGUAGGGAAUAUUGCUCAAUGGGGGAAACCCUGAAGCAGCAACGCCGCGUGGAGGAUGAAGGCUUUAGGAUUGUAAACCCCUUUUGUUAGAGAAGAUUAUGACGGUAUCUAACGAAUAAGCACCGGCUAACUCCGUGCCAGCAGCCGCGGUAAUACGGAGGGUGCAAGCGUUAUUCGGAAUCACUGGGCGUAAAGGGUGUGUAGGCGGGGUAAUAAGUCAGAUGUGAAAUCCUGUAGCUUAACUACAGAACUGCAUUUGAAACUGUUACUCUGGAGUGUGGGAGAGGUAGGUGGAAUUCUUGGUGUAGGGGUGAAAUGCGUAGAGAUCAAGAGGAAUACUCAUUGCGAAGGCGGCCUGCUGGAACAUUACUGACGCUGAUGCACGAAAGCGUGGGGAGCAAACAGGAUUAGAUACCCGAGUAGUC
rnacentral:rRNA from 1 species